GCCGGGGAUUAGUGGCGAACGGGUGAGUAACACGUGGGCAAUCUGCCCUGCACUCUGGGAUAAGCCCGGGAAACUGGGUCUAAUACCGGAUACGACACAUGAGCGCAUGCUCGUGUGUGGAAAGUUCCGGCGGUGCAGGAUGAGCCCGCGGCCUAUCAGUUUGUUGGUGGGGUAGUGGCCUACCAAGACGACGACGGGUAGCCGGCCUGAGAGGGUGACCGGCCACACUGGGACUGAGACACGGCCCAGACUCCUACGGGAGGCAGCAGUGGGGAAUAUUGCACAAUGGGCGAAAGCCUGAUGCAGCGACGCCGCGUGAGGGAUGACGGCCUUCGGGUUGUAAACCUCUUUCAGCAGGGAAGAAGCGAAAGUGACGGUACCUGCAGAAGAAGCACCGGCUAACUACGUGCCAGCAGCCGCGGUAAUACGUAGGGUGCAAGCGUUGUCCGGAAUUAUUGGGCGUAAAGAGCUCGUAGGCGGCCUGUCGCGUCGAUUGUGAAAGCCCAGGGCUUAACCCUGGGUCUGCAGUCGAUACGGGCAGGCUAGAGUUCGGUAGGGGAGAUCGGAAUUCCUGGUGUAGCGGUGAAAUGCGCAGAUAUCAGGAGGAACACCGGUGGCGAAGGCGGAUCUCUGGGCCGAUACUGACGCUGAGGAGCGAAAGCGUGGGGAGCGAACAGGAUUAGAUACCCUGGUAGUCCACGCCGUAAACGGUGGGCACUAGGUGUGGGCAACAUUCCACGUUGUCCGUGCCGCAGCUAACGCAUUAAGUGCCCCGCCUGGGGAGUACGGCCGCAAGGCUAAAAC
rnacentral:rRNA from 1 species